rnacentral:lncRNA from 1 species
UUGAGGCCUAUGGGAUCUCGAUUAGCUUCUGUACACCGCCGAUCAUCGACGCCCGUCGCAGGCGAAUUGGAGUGAAGCCACCCUUAUUGCCCUCGGUGGAGACUGGAGAGCGAACAUGGGAUGGGAGGGUGUGGUGCAAGGUCGAAACCCUCCUAUUUUUUCUGUUUUCCUCCGCUAAAGAUUUCAAUUUUUUUUGUUGGUACAACGAUUUCAAUUU